GGGGACUUGUCGUCUCGCCAACGUCUUUUCGAAAAGUCGGUGUGGAUAACUAUUUUGAACCUUUAAAGGGAAGCAAGGGUACAGAGAUUCCUAGCUAGUAUCUAUAUUAUGUAAUAAUGGAGUAUUCGCCCUACCAUGGAGUUCCGCAUUAACAUUAACAUAAACGUUAACGCUACCCUCCUACGGUGCCCUGAAUGGCAGUCACUUCUACCGCUACUCUUGUACGGUGCCCUGAAUGGGAGUCAUUUCUACCGCUACCCUUGUACGGUGCCCUGAAUGGGAGUCACUUCUACCGCUACACUUAUACGGUGCUCGGAAUGGAAGUCACUUCUGCCGCUACCUUCGUACGGUGCCCCAACUUUUGUUAUUAUCUCACAAAUUGACCUCCAAAAUUGCAUUUUUCUGUUCGAAAGACUAAUUUUUCCUGGUUUUUCGGAUUUUCAACCUGAGUUUGACAUCGGAGAAGGACCAUUCUCACAUCAGAUUGGAUUUUGCAACUGAGUCUGACCUCGUAGAAGGACCAUUUUUGCAUCAGAUUUACCAAUUUUUCCUGUUUUUUUGAAUUUUGCACCUGAGUCUGACAUCGUAGAAGGACCAUUUUUGCAUCAGAUUACUACUUUUUCCUGGUUUUUUGGAUUUUGCACCUGAGUCUGAUAUCGUAGAUGGACCAUUUUUGCAUCAGAUUACUACUUUUUCCUGGUUUUUUGGAUUUUGCACCUGAGUCUGAUAUCGUAGAUGGACCAUUUUUGCAUCAGAUUACUACUUUUUCCUGGUUUUUUGGAUUUUGCACCUGAGUCUGACAUCAUAGGAGGACCAUUUUUGCAUCAGAUUGU